rnacentral:rRNA from 1 species
UACGUAGGGUGCAAGCGUUAAUCGGAAUUACUGGGCGUAAAGCGUACGCAGGCGGCUAUGUAAGACAGGUGUGAAAUCCCCGGGCCUAACCUGGGAGCUGCAUUUGUGACUGCAUAGCUAGAGUCCGUCAGAGGGGGGUGGAAUUCCACGUGUAGCAGUGAAAUGCGUAGAGAUGUGGAGGAACACCGAUGGCGAAGGCAGCCCCCUGGGAUGAGACUGACGCUCAUGUACGAAAGCGUGGGGAGCAAACAGG